AGUCAAAUUUCUGGGUUACAUGGUAUACUAAUGCUUUAAUUUUUGAGGGAACACUAUACUGUUUUCCACAGUGACUAUAUUAUUUUAGAUUCCCAUUAGCAGU
rnacentral:pre_miRNA from 1 species